ACUUUCAAUUUUCUGGGAAUAGCAAGGUCACAUGCAAGACCAGGCUUGGAGAAGCAGAACCUCCAGUAAUAAGUGCUUGAAAUAUUGAGGGGUCCUCUCUCUCUUACUCUGAUCUUUGGCUUACAUACUCCUUAAAGAAAGAGUUUUCCUCCAUAACAAACAAGUCAUGAUGGUAGACUUGACCUAAAUGGAAGGCAUUAUUUUUUCUUUGUUUAUGAGCGUGAAUUAUGGUAUUUCCCUAAUUUCAAACAUACAAACUCAGCACAUUAUUAACUAAACAUCAACAGCAUCUACUUCUUUCCAGUUUAUAAAUAAUGGCUCAGUAGAGUGCAUAACUAUAGAAUUAGAUAUCUACAUUCUUACUAGGCAUUUAAUCUCUGAUUGAACACCCAAUUUGUUUGACUCACGGCUGCUCUUGUGCACCUGAGUGCCUCAUAGGGUUAGCAAAAAACAUUCAACCAGCAAUUUCAGUAGUUAGGGAUGUGACCACAAGAUGGUAGUGCUUCUCUGCUGAGGCAGAGUAGAGGGUUCUGAAUGAAUAGGCUUAUGGUAGCAGCAGAGGCUUUUUCUUAUUGGUUGGGUACACAAUGUGAGAAACCACUAUGGUUGUUAGAGGAGAGAAGGGACAACCUGAUGAUAGGAGUGACUCUUAUAACUGGAGGUUGCAGGCGUAUGACUUAUCUUAACUGGGAAGAACAAUGAUGACAUCCAUUCGCGCUGUAUUUAUAUUCUUGUGGCUGCAGCUGGAUUCGGUGAAUGGAGAGAAUGUGGAGCAGCGUCCUUCUACUCUGAGUGUCCAGGUGGGAGACAGCUCUGUUAUCAACUGUACUUAUUCAGACAGUGCUUCAAACUACUUCCCUUGGUAUAAGCAAGAACUUGGAAAAGGACCUCGGCUCAUUAUAGACAUUCGUUCAAAUGUGGACAAAAGGAAAGACAGAAGAAUGACUGUUUUAUUGAAUAAGACAGCCAAACAUUUCUCCCUGCACAUCACAGACACCCAACCUGGAGACUCAGCUCUCUACUUCUGCGCAGCUGGUACACAUUGCUUCCCAGGCACCUGCUACCCGUACUGAAACCUGAGACUGGAGCUGAAGCUGCACUCCCUUUCCUUUGUCAUAAACCUACAAGUAUAGCAUUUGUCAUACAGUUUGUUUGCAACUUGAAACUAACAUAUUGACAUUAAAAGCACAUAAAAAAAGGUUAGUUAGGUUCAA